GUCUCAGGCCGUAUCAGCCUGAAGGCGCCCGAUCUCGUCUGAUCUCGGAAGCUAAGCAGGGUCGGGCCUGGUUAGGAUCUUGGAUGGGAGACCACCUGGGAAUCCCGGGUGCUCGAGGUU
rnacentral:rRNA from 1 species